CCCUUAGAUGUUCUGGGCCGCACGCGCGCUACACUGAUGCAUUCAACGAGUUUCUUCCUGGUCCGAGAGGAAUGGGAAACCUUUUGAAAGUGCAUCGUGAUAGGGAUAGACUAUUGCAAUUAUUGGUCUUCAACGAGGAAUUCCUAGUAGACGUAGUUCAUCAGACUGCAUCGAUUACGUCCCUGCCCUUUGUACACACCGCCCGUCGCUCCUACCGAUUGAAUGCUCAGGUGAGCCAUUCGGACUUUCAUCAUGCUGGUUUCCAGUUUUGAUGAAGGAAAGUCUUGCGAACCUUAUCAUUUAGAGGAAGGAGAAGUCGUAACA
rnacentral:rRNA from 1 species